GUGAGGGGGUGACUAGUGACAGAGUGAGGGGGUGACUAGUGACACAGUGAGGGAGGGGGUGACUAGUGACAGAAGGAGGGAGGGAGUAGUGACAGAGGGAGGUGGUGACUAGUGACAGAGUGAGGGAGGGAAGGGUGUGACUAGUGACAGUCACCACCUCCUUCACUCUGUCACUAGUCACCCCCUCCCUCACUCUGUCACUGUGUCACCCCCUUCCUCACUCUGUCACUAGUCACCCUCUCUCUCACUCUGUCACUAGUCACCCCGUCCCUCAC